CACGUAGGCACCAAGCGUUGUCCGGAUUUAUUGGGCGUAAAGAGCUCGUAGGCGGUUCAGUAAGUCAGGUGUGAAAUCUUUGGGCUUAACCCAAAGCGUGCACUUGAUACUGCUGUGACUUGAGUUCGGUAGGGGAGUGGGGAAUUCCUGGUGUAGCGGUGGAAUGCGCAGAUAUCAGGAGGAACACCGGUGGCGAAGGCGGGUCUCUGGGCAGUAACUGACGCUGAGGAGCGAAAGCGUGGGGAGCGAACAGG
rnacentral:rRNA from 1 species